rnacentral:misc_RNA from 1 species
GAAAUGCGAUACGUGAUGUGAAUUGCAUACUCGUGAAUCAUCGAAUCUUUGAACGCAAAUGGCGCUCGGCCGCUUCGGUGUGCCGAGCAUGUCUGUUUGAGGGUCAGUUUUACCUGCUUCUGCUUCUAAUUUUGUUAUUAGUAGUAGAGACGAUGCGUGUUCAGUUUUUCUCACGAAUAGCUGAUCAUGUGAAAUGAAAGUAAUUCUAGCUCAAUUUAUUUUGACUAGAAUGAAUUGGGAUUAUGUUGGAACGUUCCAGGGUCCCGACCUCAUAUAUAAACGGGACUCAGAGGAAGCAUCCAGCAACCUCCCAUUAAUAACAUUUAUUAUUAAAAUGACCUCAAAUCAGGCAAGAGCACCCGCUGAACUUAA